CGAGGAUGAUGACACCUGGGUAUGCUGCACACUCCAACUGCGGCAUGAGGAAGCCAACCUUGAAAAAAAAACAAACAAACAAAGCUUUUCU